UUGGGUGGAAUUUUUAUUUUGCUUUGUUUAUUUUUUUGGAGGCUAUGAAGUUUUUUUUGUAGACUAGGAUUAGAUACCCUAUUAUUUCUUAUGUUAAGUUUGUUUGGUGCCUGAGUAGUAGUAGUUAUGUUCUUGAAACUCAAAGAAUUUGGCGGUACCUUAUUCCAGUCAGAGGAAUCUGUGUCGUUAUCGAUAGUCCACGUUGGACCUUACUUAGUUUGUGUUUAGUGUUUGUAUACCGCCGUUUCUUGUUUAUCCUUUUAGGGGUUGAAAUUUUCCGCUUCUAGUUUAUGGGUUUAUUUCAGGUCAAGGUGCAGCUUUAUUUCUAAGUGUGCAUGGGUUACAUUGUUAUAGGUAAGUUGGAUUAUUGCUCUAAUUGGUAAUAUGAAAUUGGAUUUGAUUGUAAUGUCUUGAAGACUGUUUUCAUGAUAUUGGUUCUGGGGUAUGUACACAUCGCCCGUCACUCUCGCCUAUCUGGCGAGAUAAGUCGUAACAAAGUAGUCGUACCGGAAGGUGCGGCUGGAUUGAUAAUUGUAU
rnacentral:rRNA from 1 species